GUGCGCGUCCCGCAAAGUAUCCGCGAAAGCACAGCGCACACGGCGCGUCGCUGGGCCCACCUACCAGAGAGUGCCUCCGCCGUAGCCAAGCUCGCCGCCGGCGGAGACGAUCGGGGCGGCGGAGGCCGAGCUCGGCGGAGGCGGAAUGGCGCCGAAGAAGAAGCAGCAGCAGCAGGCGCCGAAGCAGAAGCAGAAGCCCAAGCACUCCUCCACCUCCUCCUCGUCGUCCUCGGCCGGCGGCGGCGCCGCCUCCGCCGCGCCGCGGCUCCAGAUCUCGUCGGAGAACGAGCGCCGCCUCCGCCGCCUGCUCCUCAACUCCGGAGCGACCGCGGCGCCAGCGCCCGCGCCGGCGGAUGCUCCCGCGGCGCGUGCCGAGUCGAGGGAGCAGAAGGCGCGGCGGCUGCGCGGGGUGUACGACAAGCUCUCCCUCGAGGGCUUCUCCUCCGCGCAAAUCGAGCAGGCGCUCUCCGCGCUAUCGGAUUCGGCUACGUUCGAGUCGGCGUUGGAUUGGCUGUGCUUUAAUCUGCCCGGCGAUGAGCUCCCCCUCAAGUUCUCCAGUGGCACCGCUUCCUCUUCUGGGGCUGGGCCUUUAGGGACAGAAGGCUCAGUUAAGGUAGUAUCAACAGCGAAAGACAAUUGGGUGCCACAGAGUCGUGAGUCAGAGGAGGUGCAGGGGAGCAAUGAGAGGUUGGAAAUUAUAAUUAGCAGGCGGCGAGAAGAAGAUGUGACAUUGGAUGACGGGCAAUCAUCACAAGCUGCAUGGAUUCGGCAGUACAUGGAACAACAAGAGGAGGAAGAUGAUGUGAAUUCUAAUGAUUCCUACACAUGGGAAGAUCACUGCCCACCAAGUUUGGAAACUGCUGAGGCAAAGCCAAGUAGGCGAAAGAAGAAGGGUAAACAAGCGAAAUCCUCAUCUGGAAACUCAAAGGAAGAUCUCAGCAGUUCAGAUAAUGUCUUUCCAAAUUCUGAUAUUGCAAAUGCUGAGGGUGAUCUAGUUGACUCUGGUGCAACUGGAAAGAAAUGUGAGAGUCCUGUCCAUAUGGAUGGAGGAUCCAGUUUGGAGAAAAAAAUGUCCAAGGAUGUUGAUGAAACCAGCACAAAGGAGGUAGAAGAAGAGGAAGUAGAACUUGAUAACCUGUUUUUUGAAGACUCUUCUGCUUGGGAGGCAGUGGCUCCAGAAAUACUAAAACAGCAAAAAAUAGAGAAAUUAUCACAUGAUGGUUAUGGGCAUCUUCUUGGAAACAUAGAUGAUAUAUGGAAGAAGGGAGAUUCUGGUAAAAUGCCAAAGGCUGUUCUGCAAAAAUUCUGUCAGAAACUUGGUUGGGAAGCGCCAAAAUACAGUAAAAUAUCUGAAAAGGAUCGUAAAUUCAUAUAUGCUGUUAAUGUACUGCGUGGCUCUACUGGUCGUGGUAAAAGUCGGAAGGCUGGAGGCUUGACAAAAGUCGAGUUAACUGAACAAGAUAAAGAAUAUGCAUCUGUUGAGGAAGCACAAAACAGAGUGGCAGCUUUUGCUCUAUAUCAAUUUUUCGCUGAUCUUUCAUUGCGCCAAUUGCUUAUUGAACCAUAUGCAUCACUUGUUUUAAGAUGGCAAGAAGGGGAGUUAUCAUCAUCAUCUUCAAGGGUUAUGGAUACUGAGGAUAGUCGAAGAGCUGGUUUUGUGGAUAAGUUGUUGGAUAUGGAUGCGAAUACAACUCCACAUCAAGUUGAGGAUGCGUCAGAUGGUGCUACAUCUGUUGACUCUAGGAGCAUCGAGGACAGCUACUCUGUUCAUGAGAAGAAAGAGACCUAUCUGGUGAAUCGUACAGGAUCGAGAUCCGCAGAGCAGGUGGAAAGCACAGUGUUGAAAAAACAUUUGGAAAAUAAAAUGAAGCAGUCGAGCUAUUUGAAAAUGCUGGAAGCAAGAGCUUCUCUACCAAUCUCUAGAUUCAAAGAUCAUUUUCUACAGUUACUGAAAGAGAAUGAUGUGAUUGUUGUUUGCGGAGAAACCGGAUGUGGGAAGACAACUCAGGUGCCACAGUUUAUUUUGGAUGAUAUGAUUGAAUCUGAGCUUGGUGGUUACUGCAGCAUAGUCUGCACACAACCCCGGAGGAUAGCGGCCAUUUCAGUGGCUGAAAGAGUGUCUAGUGAGAGGUGUGAAUCUUCUCCUGGAUCUAAGGAUUCUUUGGUCGGAUAUCAAGUUCGUCUUGACAGUGCUCGGAAUGAAAGGACAAAGCUUCUGUUCUGUACCACCGGUAUCCUUCUUAGAAAAUUAUCUGGGAACAAUGAUUUAAGUGAUGUUACUCAUGUAGUAGUAGACGAAGUACAUGAACGUACUAUUUUGGGUGACUUUCUGUUGAUUGUUCUUAAGAGUCUUGUUGAGAAGCGUUCUAAUCAACCAGGAAGGAAGUUGAAAGUGAUUCUCAUGUCUGCUACUGUUGAUUCAAGCCUAUUUGCUCGGUAUUUUGGAGAUUGCCCUGUAAUUAAUGUUGAAGGGAGAACACAUCCAGUUUCAUCUCACUUCCUUGAGGAUGUUUAUGAGAAAAUGGAGUACUGUCUUGCUUUGGAUUCUCCUGCAUCAGGAGCAUACUUUCAACAGCAUGGAGAAAAGUGGAAGAAUGCUAGUAGCACAGUGAAUAAUCGACGGGGAAAGAAGAACCUUGUUUUAUCCUCAUGGGGGGAUGAGUCAGUGCUUACUGAAGAUUAUGUUAAUCCUCAUUAUACAACUGAUUGCUAUCAGUCAUACAGCGAAAGGACCAACCAAAAUCUGAAACGCUUAAAUGAAGAUGUGAUUGAUUUUGAUCUGUUGGAAGACUUGAUAUGCUAUAUUGAUGAGAACUGCCCCCCUGGCGCUGUUCUUGUUUUUCUUCCUGGAGUCGCAGAGAUUGAUAUGUUGAUUGAUAGAUUAUCUGCUUCUGUUAGAUUUGGAAGGGAAUCAUCUGAUUGGAUUCUUCCUUUGCAUUCACUGCUUGCACCCACUGAUCAAAGGAAGGUGUUCCAGUCACCACCAGAAAACAUUCGCAAGAUUAUUGUCGCCACAGACAUAGCAGAGACCAGCAUUACAAUUGAUGAUGUAAUUUAUGUAGUUGAUACUGGGAAGCACAAGGAAAAUCGCUAUAACCCGCAGAAGAAAAUGUCAAGCAUAGUAGAAGAUUGGAUUUCUCGUGCAAAUGCAAAACAGAGACGAGGACGGGCUGGUCGUGUGAAGCCUGGGUUGUGUUUCUGCUUGUAUACUCGCCAUCGUUUUGAAAAAAUGAUGCGCCCAUUUCAGGUGCCUGAGAUGCUGCGGAUGCCAUUGACUGAGCUGUGUUUGCAAAUAAAAUCACUUCAUCUGGGUGGCAUAAAGUCAUUUCUUUUAAAGGCCAUAGAACCCCCUAAAGAAGAAGCUAUCUCCUCUGCUAUUGACUUGUUAUAUCAGGUUGGAGCAUUUGAAGGACAUGAGGAAUUAUCACCUCUUGGCUAUCAUUUGGCCAAAUUGCCAGUUGAUGUUUUGAUUGGAAAGAUGAUGCUCUAUGGUGCUAUCUUUGGCUGCUUAUCUCCCAUUCUUUCUGUUGCUGCUUUUCUGAGUUAUAAAUCCCCAUUCAUCUCUCCAAAAGAUGAGAAGCAAAAUGUGGAGAAGGCAAAGGCUUCAUUGAUGAAUGAAAACCUUGAUGGAUCUGCUUCUACAGCAGAUAAUAAACAAUCUGACCACCUGUUAAUGGUUAUUGCAUACAAUAAGUGGUCUCGCAUACUAAGAGAGAAUGGAGCUAGAUCUGCCCAUCAGUUUUGCCGUUCAUUCUACUUGAACAGUACAGUGAUGUAUAUGGUCAGAGACAUGCGACUACAGUAUGGGACAUUAUUAGCAGACAUUGGACUUUUGGAUAUUCCUAAAGAUAGCCUGAGGCCUGUGGAUGGAACGAGGAAAAAUACUCUUGAGAGUUGGUUUGCGAAUAUGUCUCUUCCAUUUAACUUAUAUGCUCGUUACUCCUCAGUUGUCAAGUCAGUCAUAUGCGCAGGUCUAUACCCUAAUGUUGCAGCUACUUUAGAGGGUGUUGAUCCAGGAGCUCUAGGUGGCAGGAAGCCAUCUGAUUUUCUGUCUGGAAAGGACCGUCCUCGAUGGUAUGAUGGACGACGAGAAGUUCACAUACACCCAUCAUCUAUGAACCACAGCUUGAAAGCUGGUCAAUAUCCAUUUUUGGUGUUUCUUGAGAAGGUUGAGACAAGUAAGGUAUUUCUACGUGAUACUAGUGUUAUUUCUCCUUACUCGCUCCUUCUGUUUGGUGGUACCAUGGUUAUCCAACAUCAGACAGGAGUGGUUAUCAUAGAUGGAUGGUUAAGGCUGGCAGCUGCUGCACAGACUGCUGUCCUAUUCAAGCAACUUCGCGUAACACUUGAUGCUGUUCUGAAAGAAUUGAUAAGAAAGCCAGAGAUGGCAACUUUUGUUGACAAUGAAGUGGUCAGAUCCAUUAUUCAUUUACUGUUAGAAGAAGAAAAGGCCCAACAAGCAUGAAAUUAUGGUCAGUGGAUUAUGGUAUACCAUAUAACAACGGAAACAUAGCAGAAUCAACUUCAGAGGCAUCCAAACUGUUCUCUCUUGCCCCACACUCCGUAGCCAUUUUGGCUUGCAAAGCUUGGUGAUUGGCAUUUUUGAAGCUUCAAUGCAGAAAGGGGCAUUUGCUUGACUAAGCAACAAAAAACAGAUAUAUGUUACAAUAGAGAAAAAAUUCUUGAAAUUCUUCCUGUCCCUGAUGUGGAACACAAGUACUUCCUCCGUUUCACAAUGCAAGUCAUUCUAGCAUUUCCCACAUUCAUAUCGAGAUUAAUGAAUCUAGAUAAAUAUAUAUGUCUAGAUUCAUUAACAUCAAUAUAAAUGUGGGAAAUGCUAAAAUGACUUACAUUGUGAAACGGAGGGAGUAUACCUCAAUUCGUCCAUGUAAGGAAAGACUGCAGCAAAUGGAGCACAGCUUGUCUAGAGUAUUCAUUCGCUCGAAUGCAAUUUCCUUUCGCAAGAAUUUGCUAUGCCGAUGAGAUCCUGUAUGCAUGUUAAAAGGUGUACUUCAAUGUUAUAGUAAGGAAUAGACUAGUGUACAGUGGAUGAUAUCUUGCGUAUCAUGAAACUGAACAUAUACGCUUGCCUACGGCUACAAAUACUUAUUCAACGCUGAGCUUCGUGAACUC